rnacentral:rRNA from 1 species
UACAGAGGCCACAAGCGUUUAGACGGAAUCACUGGGCUUAAAGCGUGUGUAGGCGGGAUGGUAAGUACCUUGUGAAAUCCCACAGCUUAACUGUGGAAAUGCUUGGUAUACUGCCGUUCUUGAGUCACCUAGGGGCAGCUGGAACAGAUGGUGGAGCGGUGAAAUGCAUAGAUAUCAGGAGGAACACCGGUGGCGAAGGCGGGUCUCUGGGCAACAACUGACGCUGGAGGAGCGAAAGCGUGGGGAGCGAACAGG